rnacentral:rRNA from 1 species
UACGUAGGGUGCGAGCGUUAAUCGGAAUUACUGGGCGUAAAGUGUGCGCAGGCGGCCGCGCAAGUCGAGUGUGAAAGCCCCGAGCUUAACUUGGGAACUGCGCUCGAAACUACGUGGCUGGAGUGUGGCAGAGGAAGGUGGAAUUCCACGUGUAGCGGUGAAAUGCGUAGAGAUGUGGAGGAAUACCGAUGGCGAAGGCAGCCUUCUGGCCUAACACUGACGCUGAGGUGCGAAAGCAUGGGGAGCAAACAGG